rnacentral:rRNA from 1 species
CGUAGUUGACGACGUGUGUUCAGUGAAAUCGAGUAGGGCGGGACACGUGAUAUCCUGUCUGAAUAUGGGGGGACCAUCCUCCAAGGCUAAAUACUACUGACUGACCGAUAGUGAACCAGUACCGUGAGGGAAAGGCGAAAAGAACCCCUGUGAGGGGAGUGAAAUAGAACCUGAAACCGUGUACGUACAAGCAGUAGGAGCAGGCUUGUCCUGUGACUGCGUACCUUUUGUAUAAUGGGUCAGCGACUUAUAUUCAGUGGCAAGGUUAACCAUCUAGGGGAGCCGUAGGGAAACCGAGUCUUAACUGGGCGUUCAGUCUCUGGAUAUAGACCCGAAACCAGGUGAUCUAGCCAUGGGCAGGUUGAAGGUUGAGUAACAUCAACUGGAGGACCGAACCGACUAAUGUUGAAAAAUUAGCGGAUGACUUGUGGCUAGGGGUGAAAGGCCAAUCAAACCUGGAGAUAGCUGGUUCUCCCCGAAAGCUAUUUAGGUAGCGCCUCGGACGAAUACUACUGGGGGUAGAGCACUGUUAAGGCUAGGGGGUCAUCCCGACUUACCAACCCUUUGCAAACUCCGAAUACCAGUAAGUACUAUCCGGGAGACACACGGCGGGUGCUAACGUCCGUCGUGGAGAGGGAAACAACCCAGACCGCCAGCUAAGGUCCCAAAUUACUACUAAGUGGGAAACGAUGUGGGAAGGCUCAGACAGCCAGGAUGUUGGCUUAGAAGCAGCCAUCAUUUAAAGAAAGCGUAAUAGCUCACUGGUCGAGUCGGCCUGCGCGGAAGAUGUAACGGGGCUAAGUA